UAGAAACAGAAGAGGUGUGGUCAAGCCCAGGACAUGCCUGGGAAAGGAAAUAGUCAAGCUAGAGGGUCCAUUUGGGUUUAUGACUUGGAAGCAAAAUCAGCUGGCUUCAGUUCCAUAAGAUGAAUGCAGUUGGGAAAGCUGGGGUUAAAAAUCUCAUGGCAAAUUCUCAUUUCCACUAGCAGAAGAAAAGAAGAUGGAUAUAGCACAAAUCACUAUGUACAAUUUAUGGAAGAGCGUAAAGGUACAAGUAUGCAUCAACAAGGGAGCCUGAGUGGGAUUGCUGGCAUUCUCCUCCCUACCUCCAAGGCAAAGAAGAUUCCAGAGCUCCUCUGAAGGUCCCCCAGAGGUCUGCCUUCUCUGGUUGUUAUGGGAACUGUUUCUCACAAAAGAAACCCAGAAGUUGACAGUUUCUAAAUUCAAAGAAAGAAAUGAAUCCUGUUUGCCAGCCAGGUAUAGAAAUUUGCUUACUGCCUUUCUUGCAGUUGGGAGA